CCCCCCUUCCUCCCUACUGCUCUCUUCUCAUCUGCAUACAUGCUGUGACUUUUUUCAAACGCACCCUUGCUGAUAUGUAAGCUAGACCCAGUUGCAUUGCAAGUGUUUAGUCUUUCGCGCCGCAAACCGUAGACAUAUCUUUUCCAGACAACUUUGGAAACCAGCAGCCCUGAGAGCGGUCUGUCGAACUUCCUGUCUUUCAAGUUAUUGCAGACAGCACAAAGGGUGAAUACAGUACCGACAUUGUAAGCUAUAAAAUAAAACACACGGAUGGAUCGUCUGAUGACAAGUUCAGUGUUCCCUUGAAAGUUCCAGGAGUUUUUGACUGCACGGCUCAGCUGAAACAAACACAUUUAAGUUUUCUUCUCAAUUAACAAAAGGUUUGACGCAAAGGAAAAUGACAGUAAGUCCAGCCACUAGAACUGUGGUGGUUCUUUUCGUCACCCUGGUGAUCCUAAUUGUACUGCUUAUUUUCUUGUACAAAAAAUUAAACAGGGAGGCAAACAAUGAAUAUACAAUCAGAGAAAUCGUAUACAAGGAGGGUGGGGUCAGGGAUCGGGUUAGAGGGGCAGUAUUAGCUGUGGAAAGUCAUCUUGGCAUCCAGCUGUGGCCUGAAGGCAACGAUGAAGAGGAAGACAUGCAGGACGAGCAGGAUGAGGAGAGAGACGUGGAGAAUGGAGAUGGAGAAGAGAGGAGUGAUGGGAGUGAUACAGAUGGAGAGGAUGAACAAGAGGGGGACAGUGGGGAUCACAGUGCUGGCUCAUUCCCAAAAGAAGGCGAUAACUCCAGUGUGAACAGUUCAGAGGCAGGUGAGGAAGAUGAGCUCAUGGAUAGUAAACCAGAGUUAAAGGAGGAGAAUAAAAUUGAGGAAAAGCAGGAAAAAGAGGUAAAAGAAGAAGGUAAAGCAGAAGCAAGCGGUGGGACUGGAUUGUUGAUCGACCUGAAGCAGUUUUCUGGUAGUGCUAUUUGGUCAGAAGAGGACGGAGGUGAGGGCCGGGCUAGUGAUGUGACAGCACUGUAAAACGACAAGUAAAACUGGGAGGGACAGAAAACUUUUUAAUAAAGAAGACGAGAUCACAGAUCAAAUUAAGACAUAGUGAAGCAUAGAAAUAAAACUAGAAAAACAGCAUAAACUUAGUUCAAUUCUUCUCAUGUUACAUAUUUUAUCUUAAUGCCGUGAUGGCUGAAUAAAGCUGUUAUAUAUAUCCAAUUGGAUGUUCCUUGUAAAGAUUGUGUAAAGUUUGUCAUCUGUGACUUUGAAAUGUUUUUUAAUGCUUUAAAUGUUUUCUGCAAACUUAAUAGAAAUCUAAAGUCAGAGAAUAUUGUAUUUCUAUUUUCUCACUGUUGUUUGCUGUAAUGUGUAAACGUAAUGUCUUCAGUUCAGUUUUUAAAGCGGAAAUGAAAAUAAAUACAUUAAGCUUUUCUAUGUAAACUAAUUAAGAAAAUGUACUUAAAGAUUAUAUCACUUCUCUUAUAAGGGAUUGUAGAACAGUGAAAAACUGCUAAAAAAAAGGUAACCAAUUUAACAAUAUAUGUUAAAGAUUUUUUUUUUUUGUUUCUGUAUCAUCAGGGAGUAACAUUUUAAAACAAAACAACAUGUCCAACAACUGGCUGCAUAACAUGCAGCGUUCAACGUUAUUUUUUGCUACAACAUAAACCAAACCACAAAUGUAACUUUGUGUUCCCAUUCCAUAAUUGUUGAAUAAAAUGUU